CCUACGGGUGGCAGCCGUGGGGAAUAUUGCACAAUGGGGGAAACCCUGAUGCAGCGACGCCGCGUGAGUGAAGAAGUAUUUCGGUAUGUAAAGCUCUAUCUGCAGGGCAGACAAUGACGGUACCUGUCUAAGAAUCCCCGGCGAAAUACGAGCCAGCAGCCGCGGUAAUACGUAGGGGGCAAGCGUUAUCCGGAUUUACUGGGUGUAAUGGGAGCGGAGACGGCAUGACAAGUCAGAAGUGAAAGCCCAGGGGCCACCCCUGGGACUGCUUUAGAAACUGCCGGGCUGGAGUGCAGGAGAGGUAAGCGGAAUGCCUGGUGUAGCGGUGAAAUGCGGAGAUAUUAGGAAGAACACCAGUGGCGAAGGCGGCUUACUGGACUGUAACUGACGUUGAGGCUCGAAAGCGUGGGGAGCAAACAGGAUUAGAUACCCUGGUAGUC
rnacentral:rRNA from 1 species